AUUGAACGCUGGCGGCAGGCCUAACACAUGCAAGUCGAGCGGAUGAGGGAAGCUUGCUUCCCGAUUUAGCGGCGGACGGGUGAGUAAUGCCUAGGAAUCUGCCUAUUAGUGGGGGAUAACGUUCCGAAAGGAACGCUAAUACCGCAUACGUCCUACGGGAGAAAGUGGGGGAUCUUCGGACCUCACGCUAAUAGAUGAGCCUAGGUCGGAUUAGCUAGUUGGUGAGGUAACGGCUCACCAAGGCGACGAUCCGUAGCUGGUCUGAGAGGAUGAUCAGCCACACUGGAACUGAGACACGGUCCAGACUCCUACGGGAGGCAGCAGUGGGGAAUAUUGGACAAUGGGCGAAAGCCUGAUCCAGCCAUGCCGCGUGUGUGAAGAAGGUCUUCGGAUUGUAAAGCACUUUAAGUUGGGAGGAAGGGUUGUAAGCUAAUAUCUUGCAGCUUUGACGUUACCAACAGAAUAAGCACCGGCUAACUCUGUGCCAGCCGCCGCAGUAACAC
rnacentral:rRNA from 1 species